UUUGUUUUAACACGAAGUAAAACAGAAAGGGCACUACUGAAAAAAAACAGAAUCCCGUCCGUCCUUUCAGGGGAAGGAAAUUGGCUUGCAAACCUCACUCUUCUCUCUGUUUGCCUCAGAUUCUACCUGUUUAGAUUUCAGACUGGCCCUGGAUCUUGGGCUACAAUAUAGGGUCCAUCAUCACCCUAAGAACAGAGAUGACAGGUUUAAGGGUGAUGCAGCUUGGGGAGGCCUGCACUGAAGCACGGCAAGGAAGAACGAAGCUAUUCCUAGAUUAGGCUGGACAGAAACUGAGCAGGCACUCAAGAAUAAAGGACAGGCAUAUUCACAGUGAGUGUGCAGAGGGUACCUGCAGAUGCCCAGCUGCUUAUCAAACUGGUGAAUAGGCUGCAGGUCCCACAGGUGUUACAGGUUGGAAAGUAAGAUGGUUCGGCUGCUGUGAAGAAUGCUGUAUGACAAUCAACAUGUUUACUGUGGACCUACCACAGGACCAGUCACUCUCUCUGUGGAUGUUACAGCCAUGGCAUAGAAGUGCUGUUUCUAACAGCCAAAAGCCAAGAGCCAGGCAAGUGACUGCCAAUGUACAAAAGAUGGUAGGUAAC
rnacentral:lncRNA from 1 species